rnacentral:lncRNA from 1 species
CCACUAUAAAAAAGGAUAAUGGUAACCCUACCUUUAACUACUAUAUUUAUGAAUUUCAGAGUAAUAGAAAUACAUGUCCUAUCGAGACGGAAUUUGGAACUUGCUAUUUUCCUUCAGAUAGUUGGUUUUCAAUCUUUAGGAUAAAUACAUUACAUAAUUGCUCUUAUACAUUCCAACCACUAUCAAUCAAACAACCAUUUCUGCUUCUUUGAUACUGUUAGGAAUCCCCACAUCAAACCUCAUAGUUGGCUUAUAUUGCUCAGGGACUUCAGCACCAGCCUGUACACAUAUUUCUACCACUGCAGGAGCUUGUCCA